AUACGGAGGAUCCGAGCGUUAUCCGGAUUUAUUGGGUUUAAAGGGAGCGUAGGUGGACAGUUAAGUCAGUUGUGAAAGUUUGCGGCUCAACCGUAAAAUUGCAGUUGAUACUGGCUGUCUUGAGUACAGUAGAGGUGGGCGGAAUUAGGGGUGUAGCGGUGAAAUGCUUAGAUAUCACGAAGAACUCCGAUUGCGAAGGCAGCUCACUGGACUGCAACUGACACUGAUGCUCGAAAGUGUGGGUAUCAAACAGGAUUAGAUACCCUGGUAGUCCACACAGUAAACGAUGAAUACUCGCUGUUUGCGAUAUACAGUAAGCGGCCAAGCGAAAGCAUUAAGUAUUCCACCUGGGGAGUACGCCGGCAACGGUGAAACUCAAAUGAAUUGACGGGG
rnacentral:rRNA from 1 species